GGGGGAUGACCAUGCCAGGAAAACCAACCAUGUGAUUAGAGAGCUGGGGCUUUGAGCCAUGUGGUAUCAACUCAACCUCUGGGAAGAGGAAGAGAACAAGAGAUUAAGAACCAUGGGCAAUCAUUCAAUUGAUCACGAGAGCAAAGCAUCCUGACUCCAGGAAGAGAGGGCGAAAGAAGCGUCACCUUCAGCAUCCUUCUAGAUCUCGCCCUGUAAGUUUCUCCUUUUGGCUGAUUCUGAUUUACAUCCUUUGGCUAUA
rnacentral:lncRNA from 1 species